CUUUGCCAGAUCGAAGCCCUAUUUCCUGAGAACAAACUCAGCUGCAGGAGGUGGAGCUCACUGAACAUCGUUGCUACAGUUUCUCCUGCCCCUUCAGAGCAGCCUCUCCAAACUACUACUGCUCAGCUGCAGUAUUAUUACUCAGAAAAACCAGCCUUUAAGCUUCCCAUGCUGACAUGAUGCAAUCAGAGUAACCAGACAACAUGAGGCACCAAGUACCAGGAGCAUUGUUGGAGUGAUGUGAAGAAUGACUCUGCAACCAGGAGGCAGAAAAGCACUUUGGCUCUUUGGCCCUGCAUUCAAUCCCUUCAUUUGAGAACUUCAGAGCAUGUGAGAAGCUAUGCUGAACUUCUUACCAGCCCAAGAGAUAGAAAAAGGCACAAUUCUCAUUUUACAGAAAAUUAAGCUGGGACAUGGAAAUGUUAAUGUCUAGAUUAGAGUUAUAUAAAUUAUGAAGUCAGGAUCCAAACCACAAGGAUGUUUUGCUGAGACCACAUCAAAAUGGCUCAGCGUUCAAAGCACUGACAUCAGCAACAGUGUCAAAGCUUUUAGCAAUGACAAAACUCAGGGCUUUCAGCUCAGCUUUCUCAAGCAUUUGUGGAGCCGAAGAUGAGGACAUGAGAUUGGCACUCAUUUACUGAUUGCUCUGGUGGUGUCUGGCACUGGAUGCCAGAGAGAAGAGUCACCUCCUGCUAGAAAGCACUCCAAAAAUUUGUCUACAGGUCGUGUAACUGCUGUGUGGUCUAUGAGAUUUCCUUAGUGAACUUGUUUUCUGAACUCCAGGAUGAAUAACAAGUAUUGCAAAGUGAGGGUGACUGGGAAGGAUGCAUGUGAGAUCGUGUCUGGAAAGCAGCUGCAGAUAGAACAACUGAAGCUGCCAAAGGGCUAUUGAGGGCUGGCGGCAUGAGUAGGGUGAGAAAAACAAUCACUAUUGAUUAGUGGAAGAGAACAGGACUAACAAAGUCAGAUUUGUGGGGAUAAGUGGAGAAAAAAGAGGAGAUUAAAUACAGAAAAGGCAAGUAAGAUUAUCCUGUAAGGAGACAGUGAGAAAGAAAGUUGCCAUGUUGAAAUAUGGUAAUUGUGAGGAUGAAUAGUAGUGAAGCUUCAUGAAAAUGGGCCAGCAAGAGAGAAGCAGUGAAAACAUGAGUUGGCAAUUCUGUGAGAACAAGAGAUGAAACUAUGCAUUUCUAAAUUGUAAUACACAAGGUCUGCACUGCUCCAGGGCAGCCCUUUAACCAGA